UCACCGUGGUAACGGUCAGGUCCCCUGAUGAAUCCCAAUUCAGCCGGCUUUGCUGUCACUGUCAGGUGUUUCCGGAUUCUCCAUCUCUGACGGCCUAACCGUAGAUGUACUCGCACGUUCAGAGUCCAGGCUCGGCUCCCCAAGCACGGCACUCAUGAACACACAUUCCAUCACAAAUAAGACUUUCGAAUAGCUGAAUUUAAAGGUUGAAACCUGGCAGACUGAAUCAGGCCUACCUCAUUGAACUGCGUCCUUUACAUCUCUCAGGAUGUGAUGGAGGUCUUGCAGCCGGUUUAAAGAUCCGCUUCCUGUGCUGACAGUAUGGGUGUGUAGCCUUUUCUCUCAUUCCUGCCUCCUUGUCUCCUUUGACCUUUGUGUUGGUGCCUGUGACCUGGGAGUUGAUCUCCGUGUUAAUGCAUCUGGAGGCCAUGAGAGGAGCGAGAGGCGGAUUGCUGGAGAGGCUCUAAUUGAGGAUGCUCAGGUGCUGCCUGCAGUGAAGCCAAAGAGAUGUACAUGAGAUUGGAGGGACAGCCGGAGACAAGUGUUAUGGAAGGAGAGAGCAGAUGGAGGCAGAUGGCGACUCCUACUGCUGCAGUAAAAUGGCAUCUCAUCACAGCUCUGCCAGUUUAAUCUGCUACCAAUAAAAAUAUAUUCCAAAGUAAAAUAAGAGAAAUAAAACUCAGCAACGGAGGAGAGGCGGGAGAGGUGGGGGCGAUGGAGGAACAGGUGGUGGCGGGGGACAAUGAUAUGAUAACAAGAAGCAGAGAGAACAAGCAGUGGGACCUGUGCAAAAUGUUGAGACCUGAACAGAGUGACGUUUAUUUUUACACGAAUAACAUCACAAGUACAACAGCAACUCCAACAUCUCUCCAAAUUCUGCUCCACUUAAAGGAGAAUUACACUUACUCUGCUAUAUCUAGCUAUCUAUCUAUCUAUCUAU